rnacentral:lncRNA from 1 species
AAAAGAUUGAGUAAAAUAUACAAAAAGAUGUUAUGAUUAUAUAGUAAAUUAUAUUCUUUAAAAUGAAGAAGGAGAAGUUAUAAGACAAAUACAAACAUAAUUAUCAAAUUCAAAAAAAUAAUGAAGAAGGAGAAGUUAUAGGACAAAUAUAAAUGUAGUUAUCAAAUUAAAAAAACAAAUCAAUUAAUUAUAAAUUGAAGUUGAGGAUAAUUAAGGAAUAAAAAUAGGCCACACAAAUACAAAGAUAAUUAUAAAUUCAAAAAAAUAAUGAAAAAGGAGAAGUUAUAGGACAAAUAUAAAGGUAGUUAUCAAAUUAAAAAAAAACAAAUCAAUUAAUUAUAAAUGGAAGUUGAGGAUAAUUAAGGAAUAAAAAUAGGCCACACAAAUAUAAAGGUAGUUAUAAAAGAAUAAAAUAGUAAAUACAAUUGCUUAAAUGAAAAAUAUAAUAAAGGGGAAAAUAUUUCAUUUAUGAAUAGAUAUAGAUUCUCUUGAACUAGAGUUUUACCAUAAUUCUUGCAAAUUCUAGAAAUUAGUUUUUCCAGUGUGCAGAGUUUGCUGAUUUAUAAUUCAAAAUAUAGAAAAAUAUAGAUUUUGUUCUAUAACUAUAUGAGUGGUGAAUAUAUAAAAAAAAAAGUGGGUGGUUACUGAAAUGGAAUGUGUCUGUAGUGUGCAUCAAAGCAAUGUGUGAAAACCAAAAGGAUAAAAGCCAAACAAAACAACACUAAGGGCCCGUUUGAAUCAGUUUUGCUUUUCACUUUCUAAAAUAUGUUUUAUAAAAUUAUUUUGAAAAAGUAUUUUUAAGAAGAGAAUUAUUAAAAAAUUUAUUUGGUAACAUGACUUUUCAAAACUGUUUUAAAAAUGAGAAAGUAGAAAUAUUUGUUUGGUAAAUUAUUUUUAAAAACAGUUUUAUAUUAUUAUUAUUAUUGGAUAAAAAGAAUUAAAAAAUCUAAGGGUAAAAUCGGGAGAAAAAUAGGUCACUCUAAAUAGGUGUAUCCCCUUUAUAUAUAGGUAUUGAUAAAUAUAUGUUUCCUUUAUGCAAUUGUGUUUUGAAACCAUUAUUCUCUCUGAUCCAUUCUAAACAUGUAUCUUCUUAUCUUCUUAUUACAUAUCCAGUUAUCAUAUAUAGUGGUGUUGGAGGAAGUUAUUUAGUGUUGGAGGAAGCUAUUUGAUGUGUUCAUGGAGGUUACAUAUUUAAUAAAUGAUUUUCUUUUUGUAUUUUUUUUAAGUUAAUAAUUGAUAGUAAUUGUAACAAUUGAUAAAGGAUAAAAUUGAAAGAAAAAAAGGUCAUACCAUUUUCAUCUAUCCCCUUUAUCUAUAGGUAUUGAAAAGGCCAUACCAUUUUCAUCUAUCCCAUUUAUCUAUAGGUAUUAAUUAGUUUAGUAGAAAGACUCGUGUCUGCUUUUCUAUUGUGCUUAAUUCUAUAUUUAUUAUAUUGUGCUAGCGUCCAAACGGAUACAACCGCUUUUUUUAAUAUUCACACACGUCAAUAUAAAUAGAUAUUUUUUAUUUAGUUUUGAUUUUAAUAUAAAUUGUUUUUGUAAAAAUGGUCUCUCUCUAAAGACUUAAUCCACUAUAAUCAAAACUUGAUUACUGACCCCACAAAGACAAAUAUUUUUUGUCUUCUUGAGUCUAUCUGACAAAGGAUAAAGAAUGGUCUAUGGCUGGUUCCUACCAUGGAUUGAUAUGUCUCUUUGGAUACUCUUGUUGCAACAUAUUUAUAAUAUCUUAAUAGCAGUUAUUUUUUUUCUAAAUUUUGUGAUAAUCUCUCUCAGUUAUUUUCGAUUUUUUCUUUUUGGAUUUUAAAUGUAAGGCAUUACAGUUAUGCAGUAUUAUGGAGUAAUUUUGUCAAAAGAAGAGGCUGGAGUUUUAAUGACAAAUAUAAAACAAAUUAUGAUUUUCUGGGUUAGAAACAAAAUCGAUGAGAGGAAGAGUAAUUUUAUUAAAGAAAGAGAGAAAAGAUUGAGUAAAAUAUACAAAAAGAUGUUAUGAUUAUAUAGUAAAUUAUAUUCUUUAAAAUGAAGAAGGAGAAGUUAUAAGACAAAUACAAACAUAAUUAUCAAAUUCAAAAAAAUAAUGAAGAAGGAGAAGUUAUAGGACAAAUAUAAAUGUAGUUAUCAAAUUAAAAAAACAAAUCAAUUAAUUAUAAAUUGAAGUUGAGGAUAAUUAAGGAAUAAAAAUAGGCCACACAAAUACAAAGAUAAUUAUAAAUUCAAAAAAAUAAUGAAAAAGGAGAAGUUAUAGGACAAAUAUAAAGGUAGUUAUCAAAUUAAAAAAAAACAAAUCAAUUAAUUAUAAAUGAAAGUUGAGGAUAAUUAAG